UACACACAGUGAGGCAAUAAUGGCCACGAUUUAUUGCUAAGAUUUAACAGUGGAUUUGGCUCAGCAUGUGACUAUAUCAGAAAGGAAUUCCCAUGGCCUAUAGUGAAUGAUAACUUGAUGGUAAGUUCCCUGCAGUCUGGGAGCUUUUACUAUUCCUUUUUGCAUCCCCAGCACCUGGGACAUUGUACAUACAUGGCAAACUGAAAUAAAAUGAAUUAAUGCAGGAGUGACUAUUAGAAUUGAAUAAAUGAUGGGAAUUAACUAAAGUCUUUCAGUUAGAGAAAUUCCCAAUAUUUAUCUUUCUAGUUCCUUCAAUAUGUAACUAAGGUUUCAUUAAAGCAACUUCAAAUCUGAACCACAUAAAAGCAAAGGAUACACGUACUAACAAGAUUUACCAUUUCGCUUAGGUCAUAAUGGUUUAUUUAUAUAACUAUUCUCAAAUGGAGCUCUUUUAAAUGUCAAAAGGGUGCAGAAGACCCUCCAACAACUAGCUUUGGAAAUGAAAGUGAACACGGUCCAGUUGCUCGUUAUGCUGUACCCUCUGAUACGUUAAUUUUCCAAGUGAAGACAACAGCCAUUAAACAAGACCUUGUAUGUUGAGUGCCAAUAUAGGUACAAAUUACCAAUUAACCAAAUGCUGAUAGACAUUAGCUGAACAAUAAAUAUUACAAACCACAAUUACAAACUAGAAGUCACUUU